rnacentral:rRNA from 1 species
GUGGGGAAUCUUGCACAAUGGGCGAAAGCCUGAUGCAGCAACGCCGCGUGCGGGAAGACGGCCCUAGGGUUGUAAACCGCUUUCAGCAGGGAAGAAACUGACGGUACCUGCAGAAGAAGAUGCGGCCAACUACGUGCCAGCAGCCGCGGUGACACGUAGGCAUCGAGCGUUAUCCGGAUUUAUUGGGCGUAAAGAGCUCGUAGGCGGUUCGGUUAGUCGGGUGUGAAAACUCUGGGCUCAACCCAGAGACGCCACCCGAUACUGCUGUGACUAGAGUGCGGUAGGGGAGUGGGGAACUCCUGGUGUAGCGGUGAAAUGCGCAGAUAUCAGGAAGAACACCAGUGGCGAAGGCGCCACUCUGGGCCGUAACUGACGCUGAGGAGCGAAAGCGUGGGUAGCAAACAGGAUUAGAUACCCUGGUAGUCC